rnacentral:rRNA from 1 species
AGAGUUUGAUCAUGGCUCAGGAUGAACGCUAGCGGCAGGCUUAAUACAUGCAAGUCGAACGGCAGCACGAGUAGCAAUACUUGGUGGCGAGUGGCGCACGGGUGCGUAACGCGUAUGCAAUCUACCUUUAACAGGAGAAUAGCCCGAAGAAAUUCGGAUUAAUACUCCAUAGUUUUAUUGAGUGGCAUCACUUAAUAAAUAAAGUUCCGACGGUUAAAGAUGAGCAUGCGUGACAUUAGCUAGUUGGUGAGGUAACGGCUCACCAAGGCGACGAUGUCUAGGGGUUCUGAGAGGAUUAACCCCCACACUGGUACUGAGACACGGACCAGACUCCUACGGGAGGCAGCAGUAAGGAAUAUUGGUCAAUGGACGCAAGUCUGAACCAGCCAUGCCGCGUGCAGGAUGAAGGCCCUAUGGGUUGUAAACUGCUUUUGUACGGGAAAAAACCCUUCGACGUGUCGGAGGCUGAUGGUACCGUAAGAAUAAGGAUCGGCUAACUCCGUGCCAGCAGCCGCGGUAAUACGGAGGAUCCGAGCGUUAUCCGGAUUCAUUGGGUUUAAAGGGUGCGUAGGCGGGAUAGUAAGUCAGUGGUGAAAGCCUGCAGCUUAACUGCAGAAUUGCCAUUGAUACUGCUAACCUAGAGUACAGCUGAUGUGGGCGGAAUGUGUCGUGUAGCGGUGAAAUGCUUAGAUAUGACACAGAACACCAAUUGCGAAGGCAGCUCACAAAACUGUAACUGACGCUGAGGCACGAAAGUGUGGGAUCGAACAGGAUUAGAUACCCUGGUAGUCCACACUGUAAACGAUGAUCACUCGAUGUUGGCGAUAUACAGUCAGCGUCCAAGCGAAAGCGAUAAGUGAUCCACCUGGGGAGUACGGUCGCAAGAUUGAAACUCAAAGGAAUUGACGG